CACAGAGGGUGCGAGCGUUAAUCGGAAUUACUGGGCGUAAAGCGUGCGUAGACGGUUAUGUAAGUCAGGUGUGAAAGCCCCGGGCUCAACCUGGGAAUUGCAUUUGAGACUGCAUAGCUAGGGUGCGGAAGAGGGAAGCGGAAUUUCCGGUGUAGCGGUGAAAUGCGUAGAUAUCGGAAGGAACAUCAGUGGCGAAAGCGGCUUCCUGGUCCAGCACCGACGUUCAGGCACGAAAGCGUGGGGAGCAAACAGG
rnacentral:rRNA from 1 species